AGCACUAAUUAAUCAGUUAAUUAACACUAAUUAAUCAGCUAAUUAAGGCCGCUCGCCAGGCCGGGGCGCGGCUGCGCCUCUACGCCGUGGAGAAAAACCCCAACGCCGUCGUCACGUGAGUCACCCUAAUUAGCACUAAUUAACGCUAAUUAAUCAGCUAAUUAAAGGUAAUUAAGGCUAAUUAAGAAUGGAAAUUCCCACUGGGGGGGAGCAGGGAGGGUUAUUGAUCACCGAUAAUUUAUUGAUCACUUAUCGGAAUUAACCCGCGAUCGCUCCGGGGGAUAAUUAAUGGCUAUUAAUGAACUAAUUAGUGCUAAUUGGGGCUAAUUAGGGUCAUUAAUGACCUAAUUAAGGCUAAUUAAGUCUAAUUAAGAGCGGAAAUCCCCACUGGGGGGAGCAGGGAGGGUUAUUGAUCACCGAUAAUUUAUCGAUCCCUUACCGGAUUGAACCCGCGAUCGCUCCGGGGGAUAAUUAACGGCUAUUAAUGAACUAAUUAGUGCUCAUUACGGCUAAUUAGGGUCAUUAAUGAGCUAAUUAA